GAUGAACGCUAGCGGCAGGCCUAAUACAUGCAAGUCGAACGGGUGGUCGCAAGACCACUAGUGGCGCACGGGUGCGUAACGCGUAACCAACCUGCCCCGAUCUGGGGGAUAGCCCGCCGAAAGGCGGAUUAAUACCGCAUAUACCCGCAGCCUGGCAUCAGGCAACGGGGAAAGAUUUAUUGGAUCGGGAUGGGGUUGCGUGACAUUAGCUAGUUGGCGGGGUAAGGGUCCACCAAGGCGACGAUGUCUAGGGGACCUGAGAGGGUGAUCCCCCACACUGGCACUGAGAUACGGGCCAGACUCCUACGGGAGGCAGCAGUAGGGAAUAUUGGGCAAUGGGCGAGAGCCUGACCCAGCCAUGCCGCGUGCCGGAUGAAGGCCUUCUGGGUUGUAAACGGCUUCUCUCAGGGAAGAAAAAGACCUUGCGAGGUACACUGACGGUACCUGAGGAAUAAGCACCGGCUAACUCCGUG
rnacentral:rRNA from 1 species